GCACGAGUAGCUCAGUUGGUAGAGCGCCACGUUGCCAACGUGGGGGUCGCCGGUUCGAGCCCGGUCUCGUGCUCCA
rnacentral:tRNA from 5 species